rnacentral:tRNA from 1 species
GCCUGGGUGGCUCAGUCAGUUAAGCGUCUGACUUCAGCUCAGGUCAUGAUCUCACGGUUUGUGGGUUUGAGCCCCAUGUCAGGUU